UUCGGUGGAGGAACUGAACUGGUGAUCAGAACUGGUCCCGCAGUGAAGCCCUCCGUGUCUCUGCUGCCGCCCUCUUCUCUGCAGAUCUCUGGAGACUCAGCCGCACUGCUCUGCCUGCUCAGCUCUUACUCUCCACAGGGGGCGACGGUGAGCUGGACGCUGGACGGGUCAGAGGUCACCGAGGGGGUUCAGACCAGCGCAGAGAGCGAGCGGGACGGACGCUACAGCCGCAGCAGCGUCCUGAGCCUCAGCAAAGCACGCUGGGAAGGCGCGGAUCGCUUCGUCUGCAGAGUAAGACAUGACGGAGCUGAUCACGAGGCCUCGUUCCUCAAGAGCUCCCAGUGCUGAUGUUUCUCCGGUCCAGACGA